AAUAUCAAAUGAAAAAUAAUUCAAGAUGAAAUCUUUAUGUUGAAAAUAUAUACAUAGAAUAUAUCUUCAUAUAGAGAAUCACGCUUUCUCCCGAGUAACUUGCAGAACUAUUACUAUAUACUGAUAUAUAUCGUGUAUGUUAUAGUAGGCAGAAAAUCUGCAAGAACGAAGUUUAACUUCGGACUUGUUCCGGUGCGCGAAGUUUUAAGAACUGGGUGUUCUUGUGUGAAAGUUGAGUGCGUGGACUUUACAUUGUACGAUUAUGAAUUCGAGUCAAGUUGAGUUAUUGUAAAGAAAGUUAAUUUUCGCUGCAGCUGUUUGCGUGUGGGCGUCAAGGUUGGGGACACAGAAAGAAAUCCAAGGUUACGGGGAGAUGCGGCCUCGCUAUUGGAGCUGAGACCGUCCCGUCGGCUGCGAAAGUUUGUGGGCCCGC